GACGAACGCUGGCGGCGUGCUUAACACCUGCAAGUCGAACGAAGUGGCGAACGGGUGAGUAACGCGUAAUCAAACUGCCCUUCAGAGGGGGACAACAGUUGGAAACGACUGCUAAUACCGCAUACUGAAGGUGGGGAUUGCGUCUGAUUAGCUAGUUGGAGGGGUAACCGCCCACCAAGGCGAGGAUCAGUAGCCGGGCUGGGAGGGUGAACGGCCACAUUGGGACGGAGACACGGCACAGACGCCUACGGGAGGCAGCAGUGGGGAAUCUUCCGCAAUGGACGAAAGUCGGACGGAGGAACGCCGCGGGAGUUAUGACGGCCUUCGGGUUGUAAAGCUAUGGUAAGCGGGACGUAGUACCGGAAUAGAAAGCAACGGCUAACUACGUGCCAGCAGCCGCGGUAAUAC
rnacentral:rRNA from 1 species